rnacentral:rRNA from 1 species
AUUGAACGCUGGCGGCAGGCUUAACACAUGCAAGUCGAGCGGAGAUGAGGUGCUUGCACCUUAUCUUAGCGGCGGACGGGUGAGUAAUGCUUUGGAAUCUGCCUAUUAGUGGGGGACAACAUUCCGAAAGGAAUGCUAAUACCGCGUACGCCCUACGGGAGAAAGCAGGGGAUCUUCGGACCUUGCGCUAAUAGAUGAGCCUAAGUCGGAUUAGCGAGUUGGUGGGGUAAAGGCCUAACAAGGCGACGAUCUGUAGCGGGUCUGAGAGGAUGAUCCGCCACACUGGGACUGAGACACGGCCCAGACUCCUACGGGAGGCAGCAGUGGGGAAUAUUGGACAAUGGGGGGAACCCUGAUCCAGUCAUGCCGCGUGUGUGAAGAAGGCCUUAUGGUUGUAAAGCACUAUAAGCGAGGAGGAGGCUACUGAGACUAAUACUCUUGGAUAGUGGACGUUACUCGCAGAAUAAGCACCGGCUAACUCUGUGCCAGCCGCCGCAGUAAUAC